GAGUGAAGAUGAGAAUGAGAGGAGAGGAUGAAAGGGAGGAGUAACAAAAGUGAAAUCCAUUUGAAAUUGUUUUCAAUUUUGUUACUCCUCCCUCCCAUCCUCCCCUCUCAUUAUCUCUCUCAAUCC
rnacentral:miRNA from 1 species